rnacentral:snoRNA from 1 species
UUGCACUGUUCGUAACCUGUUGACAGCCUCUUCUGCUAAUGGGUUCCAUUCCAGUGCUAAAUUAACGCCCAGGAUGAGAAAAAUAUGACAUUAUUAUAUGUUUGUUACCUCUAUCUUGGGAGACACUG